rnacentral:rRNA from 1 species
AAUUGGAGGAAAUUGCUACCCUGGACAAGCCCGAUCCCAUCUGAUCUCGGAAGCUAAGCAAGGUCAGGCCUGGUUAGUACUUGGAUGAGAGACCACCUAGGAAUACCAGGUGCUGUAGGUG